rnacentral:rRNA from 1 species
UACGUAGGUGGCAAGCGUUGUCCGGAAUUACUGGGCGUAAAGCGCGCGCAGGCGGUCCUUUAAGUCUGAUGUGAAAGCCCACGGCUCAACCGUGGAGGGUCAUUGGAAACUGGGGGACUUGAGUGCAGAAGAGGAAAGCGGAAUUCCACGUGUAGCGGUGAAAUGCGUAGAGAUGUGGAGGAACACCAGUGGCGAAGGCGGCUUUCUGGUCUGUAACUGACGCUGAGGCGCGAAAGCGUGGGGAGCAAACAGG